rnacentral:rRNA from 1 species
GCUGGCGAUGCUUCAUUCAAAUAUCUGCCCUAUCAACUUUCGAUGGUAGGAUAGUGGCCUACCAUGGUUUCAACGGGUAACGGGGAAUAAGGGUUCGAUUCCGGAGAGGGAGCCUGAGAAACGGCUACCACAUCCAAGGAAGGCAGCAGGCGCGCAAAUUACCCAAUCCCGACACGGGGAGGUAGUGACAAUAAAUAACAAUAUAGGGCUCUUUCGGGUCUUAUAAUUGGAAUGAGUACAAUUUAAAUCCCUUAACGAGGAACAAUUGGAGGGCAAGUCUGGUGCCAGCAGCCGCGGUAAUUCCCAGCUCCA